GCGAACCGUCGUCGUACUCGUUUGAAUACAUGUUUGGCUGACAUAGUUCUCGGUCCCCGGACAGUCAUGCAACUAGAAUGCUGUUACGAGCGUCGGAAGGGAAUGCUUGAUAUCUUCGAGGAUAACCCCUGCCGUGUCCUGAAGUUGAAUUUAUGGCGCUUUUUAAAAGGACACCCCGUUCCUGGAGAGCAGCGUCGACGAGUUUCCAAGGAUUUCGAUCUCGAUCGUUGGGAACCGACCAUGAAACACCGCAUCGCUGGCGAUGUUGAGCGAAAAAUAUUGUACCAUGGCGACGGAGUGAAAGAGAGAAAUUGCUGGCGAAUCAAAAUCGAAUUAAACGGUGAGCCGAUAGGGAACACGCAGAUCGAAUAAAGGGGAAGAACCGAAGUAUCGAUGUCCAUCGAUCACGAUCGACUUUAUUGGAAUUUCAUUUAGACAAAAUAGCAAAUGAACGAAUAGCAAACACUUUUGAGAAGCAUUGUGUAUUGCACAAGAAACAUAUCCGAACAUUUAUUUGAUUUACAGAAAAAGUUUGAGCACCGUAAUAAACAAUGCUAUUUCUCAUCCCAAUAGUAAAUAUUAUUCACUGCAGAAUAUACACUGAGUGUUUUAUGAAGUUAUUUAUCACCACCAAUCUAUACUUGUUCGAACUACGAACAAACUGUUCGAAUACUUUUCUCUACCAGUCAGAUAUUUUAUGUGGAAAAGGAAAUAUGAAAACAACAAGAUUCGACGAUUGGUGCAUCGAGAAGAAAUCAAUGAUAAUCACAAAAUGACAGAUGAUAUUCCAUCCUGAUGUUCAUCGAAUUCCAUAAUCUUAAUCUAAUAUGAGGUAAUCGUUCGAGAAAUGAUCACAGUUUAUUCAACUCAAUCAACGAAGUCCUCGUUCACUUAAAAAGACAAAAUAAAUUACCAGCUAUCAAGGAAUCGCUGAAUCGUUCAGUCCUUGGAUUUUAACGAGCAAUCGUGAUUGAUGGGCGGUUCGAUGGUCGAAUUUCGAUAACUUCUCGGAUCAUCAUCAACGCCAUUUGGACACGCGGUUAAACUAAUGGUCGUCUCUUGUUCCUUGCUUGGAAGGCUGGCCCUAACGUCAUUACCAAGGAUGGACAUAUGCACGGUGCUUCGUUGUCCUCGACGAGAAUCACCCAUGUACCUUUUAGAGCUCAUCAACGUGAUACUUUGACCCCGACCCCGUGAACUCAGGUCUGAUGAACGACGUUGUCGUCUGCGAAUCCUCCUCGGCACGCAACAAAGCAGGUGUCUGGCCAUCAGAAUGUAAAAAACGGCGAUGAUGGUAAGCGGCGUCGCAUAGUAGAUGAAGAAACGACAGACGACGAUGGUUUUAGGAUAUCUCGGGCCGAACUCUUCCCGGAAUGGAUAGCAGGCCUUCAAAAACACGCGUCAAAUUCAAGAACUUUUUGCCGGGCGAAAGCAAAGCGGGGAACUUAUAUUCGUGUCUGAGACACGAUUUUCCCGGUUGCCGGAGAGAAAUGACAAACGAAUUGCAAGGAAAAAGAAGCUGGAAUAGCGCACAGAAUGGCUAACAGCCAAAUCAUCGCAGCAACGAUGAUCGCGAAACCCGUUGCCUGCCUCCCUGUACCUUGAACAAUAAAACGUGCAAUCGAGACGUAACAUCCGUGCUGUUCUGCCGAUACGUAUUCCAGUUUUCGUUUACGACACCUGAAACGUUCCGUUUACGAGUUGCCACGGUUCAAAUAUCGAAAGGGAAACAUUGCAAACUCAAGAAAGAAAAUGCUGCACGGAGUUAAAGAGGAUCAGCUCGUAACAGUUCAUUAAUCAUUGAAACGAGCGUCAUUAACGCUACUCGAAACACAAAACGAAGAUUUCUUUUUAUCUGACAGAGUAAACGUUGCUGGUGUUUGCUCGGCAUUAAUUUACAAUCGUUCCGCAUAGUCCUUUUCCGGCACUUGAUUCGAAAAAUCCGAGGAUGAAAUUAAAGCAUCAUACCGGUGGCGUGGAGUUUCCUCAUCGGA